rnacentral:lncRNA from 1 species
GUAACAUAGUAAGCGACAAGAGCGGACACUCGAGCCGUUUCGCCGCCGAGCUACGGCGGUUCGCCGAUUCCGCUAGGUGGCAGAGCACAUCAAGAAAAUGUGGCUGCGGCUGCGGCCGUGGCUAGCAGCUUGACAGGCGGCACGACCCGGCACGUGCGAAGCCCAGUCAGGCCGCGUCACCCCGUCGCCGGGCUCGCGGCGUUGUUAUCUGUAAAAUGCACCCAAGGAUCGUUGUUGGGUUCUUCUACCAGCCUCUGACACUACUGCUUCGUCGCCGUUUCAUGGAAUCUCCACUAUUCCUUCCUCAAAAUACACUCUACAGCCAAAGGACAUCAUGAAUAUUCAAGGGCAAAUUUCCAAGUAUCAGAAAACGAUUGCAAGGCCUCGAAGACAGCAUGUGAAGACCCCCAACACAGUCGAAGUGCUUAAUUGGCUGAGAUGCCAAAAGCUUAACCAGGGACUCACUGGAUUACACAUUCGAGAUGAUGAUGUUGGUACGUGCCCAACGGUUGACGUAGCCAUUUUAUUUUGGCACGCAACCAUUCACAUAAUUUUGCUACCUAAAUUUACCCUCCUUCGUAGAAGUAAAAGAAAACGCGUCAUUCAUUCCUUCUAAAACAAUCACAUUUCUAGUAAAUUAAGUGGUGGCUUGCCUGUGUAGUUUUUUUUUUCAUUAUCUGGAUACUUGCAACACGUCUUGUCUGUGUUGUCAUGCUUGUCUAAAGUUUAUUGCCAUGACGCCAAUGAUGUCCGACUAUUCCCCAUCACUUGGAUUUCGCAGUUUCUUCCCGUUUUCAUGUGUCUGCCACUUUUUCUCGCAAUCUUGCUGCAAUGAAUUGUCUGCUAUUUUCGUGUU